rnacentral:rRNA from 1 species
AUUGAACGCUGGCGGCAGGCCUAACACAUGCAAGUCGAACGGUAACAGGAAGCAGCUUGCUGCUUCGCUGACGAGUGGCGGACGGGUGAGUAAUGUCUGGGAAACUGCCUGAUGGAGGGGGAUAACUACUGGAAACGGUAGCUAAUACCGCAUAACGUCGCAAGACCAAAGAGGGGGACCUUAGGGCCUCUUGCCAUCGGAUGUGCCCAGAUGGGAUUAGCUAGUAGGUGGGGUAACGGCUCACCUAGGCGACGAUCCCUAGCUGGUCUGAGAGGAUGACCAGCCACACUGGAGCUGAGACACGGUCCAGACUCCUACGGGAGGCAGCAGUGGGGAAUAUUGCACAAUGGGCGCAAGCCUGAUGCAGCCAUGCCGCGUGUAUGAAGAAGGCCUUCGGGUUGUAAAGUACUUUCAGCGGGGAGGAAGGGAGUAAAGUUAAUACCUUUGCUCAUUGACGUUACCCGCAGAAGAAGCACCGGCUAACUCCGUG